rnacentral:rRNA from 1 species
UACGGAGGGUGCAAGCGUUGCUCGGAAUUACUGGGCGUAAAGGGCGUGUAGGCGGUUUCGUAUGUCUGGCGUGAAAGCCCCGGGCUCACCUCGGGAAGUGCGUCGGAAACUGCGAGACUAGAGUCCCGGAGAGGGAGGUGGAAUUCCAGGUGUAGCGUUGAAAUGCGUAGAUAUCUGGAAGAACACCGGUGGCGAAGGCGGCCUCCUGGACGGUGACUGGCGCUGAGACGCGAAAGCGGGGGGACCAAACAGG